rnacentral:rRNA from 1 species
UAUUAAAGGCAACGCCUGCCCAGUGAACCAUUUAACGGCCGCGGUACCCUAACCGUGCAAAGGUAGCGUAAUCACUUGUCUAUUAAUUGUAGACCCGUAUGAAAGGCAUAAUGAGGGUCUAACUGUCUCUUUUAGUAAAUCAAUUAAACUGAUCCCCUAGUACAAAAGCUAGGAUAUUAACAUAAGACCAGAAGACCCUGUGAAGCUUUAAUUAACCUAUUAAACCCUAUAAUAGCUCCUUUAGGUUGGGGUGACCUUGGAAAAAAAAAGAACUUCCAAAUAUUAUAUACAUACCAUAUUUUACCUUAGGCCAACAAGCCUAUAUAACCGACCCAGCACAGCUGAUUAUUGAACCAAGUUACUCCAGGGAUAACAGCGCUAUCUUCUUCAAGAGCCCAUAUCAAAAAGAAGGUUUACGACCUCGAUGUUGGAUCAGGACAUCCUAAUGGUGCAGCCGCUAUUAAGGGUUCGUUUGUUCAACGAUUAAUAGUCCUACGUGAUCUGA